rnacentral:rRNA from 2 species
GGGUUGUGAGGUUAAGCGACUAAGCGUACACGGUGGAUGCCCUGGCAGUCAGAGGCGAUGAAGGACGUGCUAAUCUGCGAUAAGCGCCGGUAAGGUGAUAUGAACCGUUAUAACCGGCGAUUUCCGAAUGGGGAAACCCAGUGUGAUUCGUCACACUAUCAUUAACUGAAUCCAUAGGUUAAUGAGGCGAACCGGGGGAACUGAAACAUCUAAGUACCCCGAGGAAAAGAAAUCAACCGAGAUUCCCCCAGUAGCGGCGAGCGAACGGGGAGGAGCCCAGAGCCUGAAUCAGCAUGUGUGUUAGUGGAAGCGUCUGGAAAGGCGCGCGAUACAGGGUGACAGCCCCGUACACAAAAGCGCAUGUGCUGUGAGCUCGAUGAGUAGGGCGGGACACGUGGUAUCCUGUCUGAAUAUGGGGGACCAUCCUCCAAGGCUAAAUACUCCUGACUGACCGAUAGUGAACCAGUACCGUGAGGGAAAGGCGAAAAGAACCCCGGCGAGGGGAGUGAAAAAGAACCUGAAACCGUGUACGUACAAGCAGUGGGAGCACAGGUUUACCUGUGUGACUGCGUACCUUUUGUAUAAUGGGUCAGCGACUUAUAUUCUGUAGCAAGGUUAACCGAAUAGGGGAGCCGGAGGGAAACCGAGUCUUAAUUGGGCGUUAAGUUGCAGGGUAUAGACCCGAAACCCGGUGAUCUAGCCAUGGGCAGGUUGAAGGUUGGGUAACACUAACUGGAGGACCGAACCGACUAAUGUUGAAAAAUUAGCGGAUGACCUGUGGCUGGGGGUGAAAGGCCAAUCAAACCGGGAGAUAGCUGGUUCUCCCCGAAAGCUAUUUAGGUAGCGCCUCGUGAAUUCAUCUCCGGGGUAGAGCACUGUUUCGGCUAGGGGGCCAUCCCGGCUUACCAACCCGAUGCAAACUGCGAAUACCGGAGAAUGUUAUCACGGGAGACACACGGCGGGUGCUAACGUCCGUCGUGAAGAGGGAAACAACCCAGACCGCCAGCUAAGGUCCCAAAGUCAUGGUUAAGUGGGAAACGAUGUGGGAAGGCCCAGACAGCCAGGAUGUUGGCUUAGAAGCAGCCAUCAUUUAAAGAAAGCGUAAUAGCUCACUGGUCGAGUCGGCCUGCGCGGAAGAUGUAACGGGGCUAAACCAUGCACCGAAGCUGCGGCAGCGAACGUAUCACCCAAGACAACUUUACGGAGUUGACGAUUGACGGAGCGAAGCGACGUCAAAGCGUUCAUUAAAGUCGAGUUGGCUUAGGGAUACGUUCGUUGGGUAGGGGAGCGUUCUGUAAGCCUGUGAAGGUGUGUCGUGAGGCAUGCUGGAGGUAUCAGAAGUGCGAAUGCUGACAUAAGUAACGAUAAAGCGGGUGAAAAGCCCGCUCGCCGGAAGACCAAGGGUUCCUGUCCAACGUUAAUCGGGGCAGGGUGAGUCGACCCCUAAGGCGAGGCCGAAAGGCGUAGUCGAUGGGAAACGGGUUAAUAUUCCCGUACUUGGUGUUACUGCGAAGGGGGACGGAGAAGGCUAUGUUGGCCGGGCGACGGUUGUCCCGGUUUAAGCGUGUAGGUGUGUGUUCCAGGUAAAUCCGGUUCACUUUAACACUGAGGCGUGACGACGAGGCACUACGGUGCUGAAGCAACAAAUGCCCUGCUUCCAGGAAAAGCCUCUAAGCAUCAGGUAACAUCAAAUCGUACCCCAAACCGACACAGGUGGUCAGGUAGAGAAUACCAAGGCGCUUGAGAGAACUCGGGUGAAGGAACUAGGCAAAAUGGUGCCGUAACUUCGGGAGAAGGCACGCUGACACGUAGGUGAAGUGAUUUACUCAUGGAGCUGAAGUCAGUCGAAGAUACCAGCUGGCUGCAACUGUUUAUUAAAAACACAGCACUGUGCAAACACGAAAGUGGACGUAUACGGUGUGACGCCUGCCCGGUGCCGGAAGGUUAAUUGAUGGGGUCAGCGCAAGCGAAGCUCCUGAUCGAAGCCCCGGUAAACGGCGGCCGUAACUAUAACGGUCCUAAGGUAGCGAAAUUCCUUGUCGGGUAAGUUCCGACCUGCACGAAUGGCGUAAUGAUGGCCAGGCUGUCUCCACCCGAGACUCAGUGAAAUUGAACUCGCUGUGAAGAUGCAGUGUACCCGCGGCAAGACGGAAAGACCCCGUGAACCUUUACUAUAGCUUGACACUGAACAUUGAGCCUUGAUGUGUAGGAUAGGUGGGAGGCUUUGAAGUGUGGACGCCAGUCUGCAUGGAGCCGACCUUGAAAUACCACCCUUUAAUGUUUGAUGUUCUAACGUGGACCCGUAAUCCGGGUUGCGGACAGUGUCUGGUGGGUAGUUUGACUGGGGCGGUCUCCUCCUAAAGAGUAACGGAGGAGCACGAAGGUUGGCUAAUCCUGGUCGGACAUCAGGAGGUUAGUGCAAUGGCAUAAGCCAGCUUGACUGCGAGCGUGACGGCGCGAGCAGGUGCGAAAGCAGGUCAUAGUGAUCCGGUGGCUCUGAAUGGAAGGGCCAUCGCUCAACGGAUAAAAGGUACUCCGGGGAUAACAGGCUGAUACCGCCCAAGAGUUCAUAUCGACGGCGGUGUUUGGCACCUCGAUGUCGGCUCAUCACAUCCUGGGGCUGAAGUAGGUCCCAAGGGUAUGGCUGUUCGCCAUUUAAAGUGGUACGCGAGCUGGGUUUAGAACGUCGUGAGACAGUUCGGUCCCUAUCUGCCGUGGGCGCUGGAGAACUGAGGGGGGCUGCUCCUAGUACGAGAGGACCGGAGUGGACGCAUCACUGGUGUUCGGGUUGUCAUGCCAAUGGCACUGCCCGGUAGCUAAAUGCGGAAGAGAUAAGUGCUGAAAGCAUCUAAGCACGAAACUUGCCCCGAGAUGAGUUCUCCCUGAGACUUAGAGUCUCCUGAAGGAACGUUGAAGACGACGACGUUGAUAGGCCGGGUGUGUAAGCGCAGCGAUGCGUUGAGCUAACCGGUACUAAUGAACCGUGAGGCUUAACCUUACAACGCCGAAG